AGAGCGAACGCUGGCGGCAGGCCUAAUACAUGCAAGUCGAACGCACCUUCGGGUGAGUGGCGGACGGGUGAGUAACGCGUGGGAACGUGCCCUUUGGUACGGAACAACUGAGGGAAACUUCAGCUAAUACCGUAUGUGCCCUUCGGGGGAAAGAUUUAUCGCCAUUGGAGCGGCCCGCGUUGGAUUAGCUUGUUGGUGGGGUAAUGGCCCACCAAGGCUACGAUCCAUAGCUGGUCUGAGAGGAUGAUCAGCCACACUGGGACUGAGACACGGCCCAGACUCCUACGGGAGGCAGCAGUAGGGAAUCUUGCGCAAUGGGCGAAAGCCUGACGCAGCCAUGCCGCGUGAAUGAUGAAGGUCUUAGGAUUGUAAAAUUCUUUCACCGGGGAAGAUAAUGACGGUACCCGGAGAAGAAGCCCCGGCUAACUUCGUGCCAGCAGCCGC
rnacentral:rRNA from 1 species